rnacentral:rRNA from 1 species
GGGUUGUGAGGUUAAGCGACUAAGCGUACACGGUGGAUGCCCUGGCAGUCAGAGGCGAUGAAGGACGUGCUAAUCUGCGAAAAGCGUCGGUAAGGUGAUAUGAACCGUUAUAACCGGCGAUGUCCGAAUGGGGAAACCCAGUGCAAUUCGUUGCACUAUCGUUAACUGAAUACAUAGGUUAACGAGGCGAACCGGGGGAACUGAAACAUCUAAGUACCCCGAGGAAAAGAAAUCAACCGAGAUUCCCCCAGUAGCGGCGAGCGAACGGGGAGCAGCCCAGAGUCUGAAUCAGCUUGUGUGUUAGUGGAACGGUCUGGAAAGUCCGACGGUACAGGGUGAUAGUCCCGUACACCAAAAUGCACAGGCUGUGAACUCGAAGAGUAGGGCGGGACACGUGGUAUCCUGUCUGAAUAUGGGGGGACCAUCCUCCAAGGCUAAAUACUCCUGACUGACCGAUAGUGAACCAGUACCGUGAGGGAAAGGCGAAAAGAACCCCGGCGAGGGGAGUGAAAAAGAACCUGAAACCGUGUACGUACAAGCAGUGGGAGCACCUUCGGGUGUGACUGCGUACCUUUUGUAUAAUGGGUCAGCGACUUAUAUUCUGUAGCAAGGUUAACCGUAUAGGGGAGCCGCAGGGAAACCGAGUCUUAACUGGGCGUUAAGUUGCAGGGUAUAGACCCGAAACCCGGUGAUCUAGCCAUGGGCAGGUUGAAGGUUGGGUAACACUAACUGGAGGACCGAACCGACUAAUGUUGAAAAAUUAGCGGAUGACUUGUGGCUGGGGGUGAAAGGCCAAUCAAACCGGGAGAUAGCUGGUUCUCCCCGAAAGCUAUUUAGGUAGCGCCUCGUGAAUUCAUCUUCGGGGGUAGAGCACUGUUUCGGCUAGGGGGUCAUCCCGACUUACCAACCCGAUGCAAACUACGAAUACCGAAGAAUGUUAUCACGGGAGACACACGGCGGGUGCUAACGUCCGUCGUGAAGAGGGAAACAACCCAGACCGCCAGCUAAGGUCCCAAAGUCAUGGUUAAGUGGGAAACGAUGUGGGAAGGCACAGACAGCCAGGAUGUUGGCUUAGAAGCAGCCAUCAUUUAAAGAAAGCGUAAUAGCUCACUGGUCGAGUCGGCCUGCGCGGAAGAUGUAACGGGGCUAAACCAUGCACCGAAGCUGCGGCAGCGACACUAUGUGUUGUUGGGUAGGGGAGCGUUCUGUAAGCCUGCGAAGGUGACCUGUGAGGGUUGCUGGAGGUAUCAGAAGUGCGAAUGCUGACAUAAGUAACGAUAAAGCGGGUGAAAAGCCCGCUCGCCGGAAGACCAAGGGUUCCUGUCCAACGUUAAUCGGGGCAGGGUGAGUCGACCCCUAAGGCGAGGCCGAAAGGCGUAGUCGAUGGGAAACAGGUUAAUAUUCCUGUACUUGGUGUUACUGCGAAGGGGGGACGGAGAAGGCUAUGUUAGCCGGGCGACGGUUGUCCCGGUUUAAGCAUGUAGGCUGGUUAUCCAGGCAAAUCCGGAUAAUCAAGGCUGAGGUGUGAUGACGAGGUACUACGGUGCUGAAGUAACAAAUGCCCUGCUUCCAGGAAAAGCCUCUAAGCAUCAGGUAACAUCAAAUCGUACCCCAAACCGACACAGGUGGUCAGGUAGAGAAUACCAAGGCGCUUGAGAGAACUCGGGUGAAGGAACUAGGCAAAAUGGUGCCGUAACUUCGGGAGAAGGCACGCUGGUGUGUAGGUGAAGUCCCUGCGGAUGGAGCUGAGACCAGUCGAAGAUACCAGCUGGCUGCAACUGUUUAUUAAAAACACAGCACUGUGCAAACACGAAAGUGGACGUAUACGGUGUGACGCCUGCCCGGUGCCGGAAGGUUAAUUGAUGGGGUUAUCCGUAAGGAGAAGCUCUUGAUCGAAGCCCCGGUAAACGGCGGCCGUAACUAUAACGGUCCUAAGGUAGCGAAAUUCCUUGUCGGGUAAGUUCCGACCUGCACGAAUGGCGUAAUGAUGGCCAGGCUGUCUCCACCCGAGACUCAGUGAAAUUGAACUCGCUGUGAAGAUGCAGUGUACCCGCGGCAAGACGGAAAGACCCCGUGAACCUUUACUAUAGCUUGACACUGAACAUUGAGCCUUGAUGUGUAGGAUAGGUGGGAGGCUUUGAAGCGUGGACGCCAGUCUGCGUGGAGCCAACCUUGAAAUACCACCCUUUAAUGUUUGAUGUUCUAACGUUGGCCCCUUAUCGGGGUUGCGGACAGUGUCUGGUGGGUAGUUUGACUGGGGCGGUCUCCUCCCAAAGCGUAACGGAGGAGCACGAAGGUUAGCUAAUCCUGGUCGGACAUCAGGAGGUUAGUGCAAUGGCAUAAGCUAGCUUGACUGCGAGCGUGACGGCGCGAGCAGGUGCGAAAGCAGGUCAUAGUGAUCCGGUGGUUCUGAAUGGAAGGGCCAUCGCUCAACGGAUAAAAGGUACUCCGGGGAUAACAGGCUGAUACCGCCCAAGAGUUCAUAUCGACGGCGGUGUUUGGCACCUCGAUGUCGGCUCAUCACAUCCUGGGGCUGAAGUAGGUCCCAAGGGUAUGGCUGUUCGCCAUUUAAAGUGGUACGCGAGCUGGGUUUAGAACGUCGUGAGACAGUUCGGUCCCUAUCUGCCGUGGGCGCUGGAGAAUUGAGGAGGGCUGCUCCUAGUACGAGAGGACCGGAGUGGACGCAUCACUGGUGUUCGGGUUGUCAUGCCAAUGGCACUGCCCGGUAGCUAAAUGCGGAAGAGAUAAGUGCUGAAAGCAUCUAAGCACGAAACUUGCCCCGAGAUGAGUUCUCCCUGAGACUUUAAGUCUCCUGAAGGAACGUUAAAGACGAUGACGUUGAUAGGCCGGGUGUGUAAGCGCAGCGAUGCGUUGAGCUAACCGGUACUAAUGAACCGUGAGGCUUAACCUUACAACGCCGAAG